GCCAGCAUGGUAUAGUGGUUUGAAUGUUGGAUUUUGACUCUAGAGAUCAGGGUUCAAUUCCCAGCUAGGCC